rnacentral:lncRNA from 1 species
AAAAUAACUCCAAGGGAACAAACUUUCUUUAUGAAAGGAUGGACAUUGGAAGGGGUAUUUGCAAGAAAUGUCUUGCAAGUGUCAAGAACACACCUAUUGAAGGUGUUGUAAAUUGUUCUUGAAUAGUUCAAAACAGUUGGUUCUUCUACUUGAAUGCUUGAUUCCAUAUUAGUAACUAUGUUUUACAAUCGUUGUAAAAGUGUGGCUAAUAAGAAGUAGAAGAUUAAUGAGAGAAGAGAAAGUACUUCACAUUCGGAACGUGAAUAAAAUAUAGAUCUCUGCGAAAGCAGAUAGUACUUACUUCCUCAUAUGAACUACCAAAGAAAUUGGAAAAACCAAAGAUUGUCUUUACAUUCCAAUUUGAAUAAGGAACUUAAUUCCGUCACUAUAAGAGAUGGAUGAAUGUUUUGUUUGACAAAACAUUGUUCUUUAUUAAUGAAUGAUUGGAUUAUUGUAAUCUAAUUGAUUGUCUCUAUAGUAGAGAUGAUAUGGUAGUGUUAACUGUUUAGAAUAUAAC